rnacentral:misc_RNA from 1 species
UACGAAGGGUGCAAGCGUUGUUCGGAAUCACUGGGCGUAAAGCGCUCGUAGGCGGACCAUUAAGCUAGAGGUGAAAGCCCGGGGCUCAACCCCGGAAUUGCCUUUGGAACUGGUAGUCUGGAGUACGAUAGGGGGUGGUGGAAUUCCUAGUGUAGAGGUGAAAUUCGUAGAUAUUAGGAGGAACACCAGAGGCGAAGGCGACCACCUGGAUCGAUACUGACGCUGAGGAGCGAAAGCGUGGGGAGCAAACAGG